CACAUAAAAAUUGGGAAUUAAGUGAGUUUUUUCUAAAUAUAUCUUACCCCUAGUUUCUCCUCUAGUAUGUUUGGGGUUUUUACCUUUUUGGACAAUUAAGUAUUGCAAAGUGACAGUUGAUAGCUAAUUUGUAAGGAAGUGUAAGUGCAGCUCUAUGACUGUAUUUCUUUGUGAUAGUAUGUAUAUAAUUUUUGACAGUCUUUCAAAAGUGUAUUUGCAGGAAGUCCUUGAAAGAGCUGCUUCCCUUCAAGCAUCCUUGUCUGAGGCACUUCCAAGCAUCUUCAGACUCAUUCAAAACACUGUUAAGUUUUCUCCAGUCUGGGCUAAAACUUCAAAGGGAAGUGUGUCAAAAGGCGCUCCCACCAGAAUCUCUGCUUUGUAUUCUCUGCUGAAUGAAAGGAUUUAAAAUGAUUUUGUUUACUAAAUAUAAGCUGCAGACUAUUUUUCUGACCUAGUUAUCUACCAGUCAUAGUGGAAAUAUAAUUAACACAGGCACAAAUUAUGAUUGCUGAUUCUUUUGGCAGUAAAAGAUUACUCAUAAUGCACAUUUAUUGUGCUUGCUAUUACUAACCAUAUUGAUUCCCAGCAUGCUUAAGGAAUACAGCAACAGGCAAUACUGUGUGAGAUGCCAUGCAAAAAAUCAUUGCAGAGACCCAAACAGUGCUACAAAUGUGUUGCCAUUAAACAAGCCUGUGGUUAUUUAUGACAAAAAUGACACUGUGGCUCAUCUUUCUUGGUGGCAGCACUAGCAAUAGUAUUUGUGCAAUUUUUCUGGAGAAGCUGCUCUUGUUUGUCAUUAAUACUUCUCCUGCAUCUUCACUUAUAGUGUGACAACAACAUUGGCAAUUUUGGUAAUUUUCCCAGAUUGGCAGUGGGGGUUACACAGGGUUUAUCCACACUUUUUUCUUCACCUUUUCUUUCACAUUCAUGUGAGAGCUUGCAAGUUCAACAGAAUAUUUUAAAAACAAAUAUGGAGACAUAUUUUUUGACUAAUUUGAAUCAAACUGGCUUGUGAACAUAGCUUAAGCAAAUGAUUAACCAGGCAAAAACAUUGCAGAAUGUUAGCAGGGGUUGCCUGUCUAUAAGCAUAUUUAAUCAUUUAGGUCAUUCUACACUUUGCUUCUCUUCAUAUCCCAUGUACUUCUCUAUCAUCCCUUAACUUGCAAAAGAAAUGGCCAAAAACACUUAUUCAAAGUUAUUCUCUUUGAUUUGUUUUUCAAUUUACAUUUGUUCCAGAAAGUGGAUGUAUUCAGAUUGAUUGUCUGUAACAAUAGUUACUGAAUUAACUUUGUUAUUAAAGUUCUUUCCCAAUUUUUUUUUCUAAUUGUAGACCACACGUACUAGAGAAAAAUUUUUAGUUUAAGUUUGCAGUGUUAUUUUGAAAGGUCAGAAAUGCAGACUCUGAAACUCAAUACAGACACUGUAAAACAAGCUCUGAACUGAGGUAAGUCUUCGUUCAGAGAGCUAGAGAACAGCCUAUGCCUGUGAACUCUGAGGGCACACGUGUACUGAAUUUUCUGUUUCUUGAGAUUUUUUGAAAUGUGUGUUUGCCACAUAAAAGGAAUUGCUAUAGAGCUGCCAACUCUCCUUUCAGCAGUGGAGAGCAGACCCUCAUUACUGAUGUGAAGGACAAUGAAGGGCAUAAAGAUCUUCUGAAUGUUCACUUGGUAACUCUUAUUAGAGGACCAGGCUCUUCCCAAAGAGGGAACCUCCUCCUCAGCCUGUUUAUAUUACUCUGGAUGAAAUAACACACAUUUACUCAAGUUCUGUUACUGGAAUGUGCAUGUACUACCUAAUAAGAAAGUUUCUUUUUUGUUUUUUAAUUGAUACAUAUUACUGAAAAUAGUUUAAUACUUUUUACUGAGUGUUCACUUUUACUCAUUGAUGUAUAGACUUGAUCUAAGGUUAUGACAUCCGGUAUUCAAAAAUGAUAAUGAAUGCUUUCAUCAUCUGUAAUGAUGGUAAACGAACCAUCAUUAUGAUGAUAAAGGUAAUGAACUUCUGAAUCAUACUAAGCUGAAGCAGCGAAUGCCAGUAACUACCACUCGCAAGGCCUGGAGGCUGAGGAAGGUGCUCUCAGAAACACGGGAUCUUCAGUAACAUUCUCUAAGUCUGAUCUACUGGAAAGGCAGACAAAUAGAAGGAUCACCUGGCAAUUCAAUCACAAGUUCUUGAGAGACUGAUUGUCAAUCACCCAUGUCAUGCGUUCAAAUCAACUCUUGAUCCUCUCCCCACUUGCAGACUACUUUGGAUCAUUGUUCCUGACUCAGCACCCACUGCCCAGUUGUCUUUGAUGCAAACCCAGAAUUUGGAGUUACCUGAAAAGACUUUAAUGCCCCCAUUUAGAUUGGCUGCUCUGCAUCAUCACACGGAAGAGUAUGUAAUUGUCCACCAGGAAUGAAGGAUAAGAGGACCAGCUUUCAGAAGGUGGAAAAUAGAUUGAGGAGUUUGAGGAGUGGUGUUGACAACAGAUCUCCAGAAAAGCAUAGAGUGGAUGACAUUCUUAAAAGCAGAAAGAAACCCCUAAAAUAUUUAGAAGAACAAAUAUCACUUCAAACUAUAUUGACCAUCGGAAUUGGGGUUUUAUUGACUGAAAGCCACUAAUAAUAUGAAUUUAUUUUAAUUCAAAUAUUAAUAUGUGUUUUGAAAACCACAGAUAUUUUAAAACAUUGAAUCCAAUGCUUGAUUUAAGAUUUUUUUUUUUUUUAAGUAGGUCAUGUACCUCAUGAUACAUCAUGAGCUGGAAAUGUUUAUAUGCUAGUAGAAAACUUGGGAAAUGCUUCAAAUGAACUUCUUGCAACUUGGUAUAACUUGAACACCUAAAAUAUUUCUACCCUAAUUUUGUGGCUUAGAAAUGGUAUUCCCCAAAUUAGUGCUACCACUAAAAAGCCCCCCAAAACCCAGGAGUCCCUGCCCUCCUCUGACAGAAAGCACAAAAGGCAGAGGUCAUGGGCUCAGGUAAGAACAAUACACUGGAAACAGAAGUGAGUUACAACAGUAACAGUGACAUUAUUAAUGGCAGAAAUAUAUAAAAAGAUAGGGUGAGUCACAUGCAAAAAUGCUCACUGCACACUUCAGGUGACAAUGAACAAUGGUAAACAGCUUCCCCCUCCCACCUUGGCCUUCUCAGAAGAAAGUGACCCUUACCCCUACCCCUGGAGGUGGUAAAAAAAACAGCUUGGCCAUGCCCACAUGGCUGCAGCUUUGCCCUCUCAUGGCUAGUACAAAAGUUCACUUUUGUCCUGGCUGGAACCAGGACAACCAAGUAUAUUUUUUUCUGCUUGAAAAUGGGGUAUAUUGUAGUGCAAAAAAGAACUUUAGUCUUAAUGGAAGCAUAUAUGUAAAUUACUGUUCUGAAAUAUCUUCGCAGUUUCACAGAAUAUUCUGAGUUGGAAGGGACCCACCAGGACCAUUGAGUUAACUCUUAAGUAAAUGAGAAAAUAGUGGCAUUGCACACAUAUGUUAGAAAGAAUUAUAGUAAAAAAAAAUUAUGCUUUUGUAUACUUACAGAUAUAUUGUGCAAAGCAAACAAAAGCCUAAACUUUGUUUAGCAUGAUCUCUGCAGAAAGGAAGUUUUAGAGCAGGAUUAUUUGAAGGAGUAAAAUGCGCUCUCUCCAAGAUUAAGAGCACUAUAUGCAGGUGGUACUAUUCCUACAGAUAUAAAAUUGCUGAGGUAUGGUAACUUAAUCUUCACAGUAGAUUCUACAGUAGACCUCUUUCACUAUCUGUGCUAGACAAGAUCUAGAACAGUAGAUAUCUUACCUAGAACAUUUUGCAGAUUGUACACAUGCUACAGAUUUAGAGGGGCACUAUAUUCUCAUGUGUUCUAAUACCACACAAACAGCACUUGCUGUUCCUAAUUUCAUAACCCUUCUUCAUGUGAGGAAAUUAAUAUGAUGGAUCUUAUAUCUUCACAUCUAGCAACAUGUAGGGAGACUGGAAAAGUGGCUAGAGAAAUAAACCUGAGCUGAUAAAGGCAAUUAAUGCACAUUUUGGUUGAAGAUGUUCUUGUAAGUUACUAGACAAAUCCUUUGAAUCCUACCUAUCAGAGUAGAAAUGAGAAAAAAUGUAAAAGGAUUCAAUACUUCAGUCUUCCAAUGUAAUUAGGUGUAAGAUAUGUUCAUGGUUGAAAGAAGUUAUUUCUAAUUUGUUCUUUGCUUUUUAUUUAAGGCCACAUAAAAAAUAGUGACUUAGUCUUGAAAAAUCUGUAACUAUACUUUGAAUCUACCAAGAAAUAUGCGCAAUAAUUUAAUGGGGAAAAAAAUAAAGAAAAGUUCUCAUUUCCUUAUUUUGCCUUGAGCACAACAUCUCAGCAUCAGACUGAAAUACAGUUGCUUUAAGAUUGCUUUCUAGUAGUAGCUGCUGUACUAAAAUAUUUUUAAAAUUUGGUUUUUAUGUUUACUUGUAAUUGUGCAUUGUUCUCUACAAAGCAUUUAAUGAAAAUAUAAAACAUUUUCUUUAGUUAUUUUCAUUAAAAUUUAUGUUCUCAUUUCUAAGGAGUCAGUUUGAUGUCUUGCAUAGCAAAGAGGUUGUACUGUGGUACAAGAGUGUCAUCUAGUGAAUGACUUGGGCGAAGGACAAACGCCUCAGUAGUAGUCAGACUGUGAGUCAUGCUACAAAUAUAGCUGAUUAGUCAGCAGGAAUGUUCAGAGCAUUUUAAAACUUUCCUUCAGAUCAACACUGAACACCAAAAAGAAUUGUUUGACAAUAUUUUUAUUAAAAGGAAAAGGAUAAUUCAUCAUUUACUGCUUCAACACGGUACAUAUCCUUCUUUAAGACCUUCUUGUGUACUAAAACAGUUCAAACUUCCAGUACUCAUGGAAUAAAUGUGAAGCAAAUUACAUUAGAAAGUUAAUUAGGAGAUUUCUUUUUCUAAAACAAGCUUAACCCUUAUCUGAGUUGUUGAAAACCUUAGAUAUUAAUUUGCUUUACGUAGGAAAAAAUAAACAACUGUUUUCUGCAGAAAGGUCUGAAAAAGACCCCAAACCAGGAAGAGUAUUUUUCUUGAAGGCUCUUUUAUGCCUUUAAAAAAGUUAGUUAAAUUCUGCAAUAGUGUAUUUUGAUAACUAUGCCCAUAUGUUAUACCUGCAGUGGAAUAAAAGAUUUAAGGUGAUUGCAAGUUCUGUAUCUUCUCAUUGUUUGGUAUUCAAUAUACCACUGAUUUACCAGGAAAGAUAAUCAGGAAAUACUUACAAAAUUCUAGCUGUAAAUUACUAUUCCUGCUAAAUAGACAAUUUAGUUGGCAGAAUGAGGUAUUCAGCUGCAUGUGAAGAACAGAAAUCUAUACUAGGCAGUGAUGGUUAAUAAUUUUUAUCCUACAGGCAACUAUAUGUUAGAGAUGGAGGGAAGUAGGUGGGUAAAAAAGGAUAUUUUGAGUAUCAUGCCUUUAUUUUUAAUCACACCAAAAUAAUUAAUUUCAGGUUCUGAUUUUACAUGUGCAUAUAAUAAGUACUGAUAAGAAUGGCUCUAAAAAAAGCACUAAUUGACAUUUAUUAGACUUCCAAUCUGAUUUUUUUUUUAAAAUUAAUUGUAAUGAAAUUAAAUUCUCAGCUGAGACACCUCAACUGAUAGCAAAUCCUAUUAUUAUACUGACAUGAGAAAAGUUUAUCUGAUUAAUUUCAGCUGUUCCCUUAUGUCCUUAUUUGUAAUCAUUCCCUUUCCCUUUCUCUAGGUUCCUUUCAGUUAUAGAUUCCUUUUUUAAACUCAGUCAUAUUUUUUUCCCAUGCUGUUUGCCUUGACUAUAUUUUAUAGGUUACCCUUUCACUUUUAAAGCCAUCUGCUUUUCUAAUCUUUCUGCUCCCUAGGUACCACUUUUUAAAAUUAGUGUGGUAGGGGGAAAUAGCAGCAAAAUACAGUAGCAGUUGUGGAAAUAAAAGCUAUUAAAUAAGAUAAACGAGUCUCAGUAAAGGAUUCAGGACUUUUUUGCGUGAUACCAGUUACAGGUUCAACACUGUUCUGAUCAUGCUAUGCUUUGAAUGUUUGUGGGUUUGAGAAUAUGCAGAAAACAGAAAACUAACCUUUUCUGAUAAUUGUAAUGACCCUGGUUUUUAAAAUCUUUUAGCUAGUCUUUAGGUGUUAUGUGUACUGAUCUGAAUCUUUCAAAGUAUUGUCAAAUUCUUUCACUACUUAUUCAAACUAUGGGAAGUAUUUUGAUAUCAUAAUAAAAAGUCAUAUUCUAUUCUCUGUGUAAUAUAUGGCUCUAAAACUUGAGCCCUAACUUGGUGAAGCUGGAAAUACCUUUUAAUAAUUCAAGAUAUUAAAAUUCUUUAGUUCUCUCUUACUUUAUUCAUGAAGGAACAUUUUUUUUUCUAAUUAUGAUCAUUAAGGAUCAUCCCUCCAGAGGGAGGGUCACUCUUGGACCGCAGUUUGUCCUCUGCUAUUUUUCAGACCAUUUUCAAUCCAUGUUUCUUGAUGUAAUGGCUUAUACGUGUAGUUAUCAUCUCCUCCUUUAGGGAAUGUAGCUCUCUUCCAGUGUAACAGGCAAACACUGUGCAGCCAUACAAUCAGGUUUGCCUAGAACUGAAAAGCAAGAUUUUAAAUUUUACUAUUAAACUCAUGCAUAAAACACAGGAAUCUAGCUCUAAACCAAAAUACACUCUGAGUGCACUGUAAGGGCCAUGGUAGCAAGAUCUAUCAUGCUACACUGCCAAAUGGCAGACUUCAUUCCUCUUCCUAAACAAAAACCCAUAUAGCUUCUCUGAGGUUUGAUUCUGCAUUUUUCCCUUAGUGCAUUAUAAAUAAACUUGAAAUAUUUUAGGUAUACCACUCCACCCAUUUUUCUUGACAUCUGCCAUAUAGAUUGCCAUCUCUUUUAGAACAAUAGCAAUUAUUUACUAGUUUCUUUCUUAUGGUGCUAAGUUUCCAACUAUAUUUUCUUUUAUAUGCUGGCAGCAUGCUCAGAACUGCAUUUCCUGCCUGUUAACAAUCUUGAGCAGACAAAGAAUUCUCUGGCACUGCACAGAGACAGCCCUAGUUCAGAUAUCCAUGGAAAAAAUUCAGCAACGCACUGCCCCAGGUGUGAUGUCUUCCUGGAAGUCCUGAAGCAUUCGGGACCACAAGGCCACCAUGCAGUAGAUGGCCUUCAGCAAGAGGCAAAUGCUGAGGAGAAACACCUACAUUACUGUGACAUGAAGUCUUUGCCAAAACAAUGAGAUUAAAACAAAACAAACAAACAAAAAAGACCCCAUUUUUAACCAUUUUGAUGGGCUUCCAAGUUCUAGUAUUAAAUCAUAAGCUGCCUGUAUUAGUCUGUUAGAUUGUCUCCUAACUUUUUCCAUCUGGCCAUCAACUGGCCCAUUAGUCCUUCUCUGGGACAAAUAACUGCCAGGUUUUCGGAAUUAGGAGCCAGAUUAUCUUUCAACAGCCAUACUGAGUCCUCCUACUUACACAGCUGUCAGUACUUACGGCAAACCCUUCCCAGUGCUUGUGAUGGUAGCUACAUAUAAAUGAGAUUUCUUUGAUGCCUUUGGUGUGAUAUCCUGUUCUGGAGGUAGUGGCUUGUUUAAUUGUCAUGGGGUGGUAGGCAGUUUAGGCUCUUCUGGAAGCGUUUGAAGAGGAGGUUAAAAACCUCCUAAUCCAACUUGAAGCUACUUGGAGACUGAUGAGAGACCAGCAGGACAGCUUUCUUUAAGAGGCCGGCGGCUGUGCUUCCUCAGCUGUACCCAAAGGACAUGCUUAGAGGAUCAAGUCACCAUGAACAGCAACUUUCCUCUAGGUAAAUGCCAUCUAUCCCAGUGAGAGGGGGCGUGCUUGUUCACAGUUUGUUUUUCCCAGAGAAAUAACUCCUGCUCAGUUCUUGAAAUAGUUGUUGUUUCUAAGUGUGUGUGUGAAUAAUCUUGGCUAGUUCAUGAAAAUAAGAAAAAUGUUGUUUUAAAUUUCACUUAUUUUCAAUUCUUUACAGUCAAUUGCUUUUAAGCACCACUCCAGGUGCAGUAGUUCCUCAUCUUGAGCUUGCCUUCACAUUUAUAUCUGUUUUCAGGAAACUGAGAUGAUAGAAACGUUAAAACAGAUUGGAUUCAGAAUAAAAUUAAAGUAUCAUCAUAAAAAGAUCUUUUAGAGUAUAUGAUAUUUCUCUACUAAAGCAGACUGAAAAUGCCCCUGUGGUAUGUUGAUGAUGCAAAACCCAAUACAAGAAAACAUGAAAACAUAAUUAGAAUUUUAAUUUAAUUUUUAAUGAGAAAAUUUAAUUAAAGUCUUCUACUUAUAAUACUUAAAUUCUAUGGUGAUAUCAAGCAUCUGAAAUGCUACAGAUUUGAGAAAAAUGUUAAUUUCCUAUAAAUAAAUUUCUUUGAACUACA